CCCUCUCGCUAUGCGAAUUCAUCGCUCAACGGAGCGAUCGCUAAGCGAGGCACCACUGUAUUAGAAUAGUAAUAAGCCAGGCUUUUCUAUCUAAUGAUCCGUAAUUGGAUUGUCCCCCUUAGAGAAUUCAAUUUGUUAUUGGUACAAUUAGUUGGAGCCUAGUAGGAGGUAAAACAAAUUAGGCAGAAGGAAUCAGGCAUUUUAGUGGCCAGUUGUUUUGGGUUAUGUUUUGGGACACCCCAGUUAUAAUCACUUUACUUAGGAAUAAGUUGCACUGAUUUCAGUGUCAUUACAGUUAUGUUUGACUGCAUCAGAUUUAAACAAAAUGUUAGAUAUUCAGUAUCUUGUAAAAUUGCAGCACUAUCCAUAUUGGACAAAAUUCUAUUCCAUAAUUUUUGCCUGGUGUAACUCAGAUUGAGAAACAUUUAAUUUACAUUAAUUAAAUGCUUCCCAUCCCCAGUUUUAGGUUUUGAGGCUUCUAGGGUAUCCUUUUGCACUGGGGAAGCAUUUGGGAGCCUCAGGAUGGGGCAUGGGAGGACUUUUAAAGUAAAAAAUGGCUACCAGUGGCAGUGGCUGCAAUCCUGGCUGCUGCAAUCUGACAGCAGUUUUCAGGGGCAUAGGAAGUUUUAGUUCAAGUAAAUUAAAUAAGUCUCAUGCUUGGUCUGAGUUGUGCCAGGUGUAGUUAUGCAACAGGAUUUUGCUCACUGUAUUUUCUUCUGCUUCAUAUACUGCUCUGAUUAACAAAUAUAAUAUUUACAUUUAUAGCCAACCACACAAUAAAUUUCUGAACCUUAAUAUGUAGUUUAUACUUCACUGAUUUAGUCUGGAAUAGGUAAAAUAGCUCAGAGUUGGUACACCCAGCUGAAGAGUCAGAGGUUCCCCACUGUGCUUUCUGGGAGAACAGCCAAUCUGCGUAGCCUUGGGAGAGGUGCACAGCCCUACAGCACUCCAGAGAGAUGGUAAACCAUUUCUGAGUACAGUACGUUGCAGCCAGGUUAUCUUGGCAAGGGUUGCCAUAAGUCACAACCAACUUGAUGGCACAUAAUUAAUUAAUGCUCUAUUUUUUGAAAAACAUGUUUCUGUUCAAAAGGAAUUUAGAAAGCAGCAAGUUCACAAAUUUUAAUUAUUGAAAGAACCAGUGAGGUCUUGAAAACUCUAUAAGGCUGGGUCACUGUAAGUUGGAAACAUUGGUACAUAAUAAAAAUUGUUUGCAGAUUA